CCCUGUGUAGCUCAGCUGGUAGAGCAAGGCAUUAACAAUGCCAGGGUUAGGGGUUUGGAUCCCCCACUAGGGCUA